rnacentral:rRNA from 1 species
CCCUUAGAUGUUCUGGGCUGCACGCGCGCUACACUGAAGCGUUCAACGAGUAUUCACCUUGCCCGGGAGGGUUGGGUAAUCUUUUGAAAACGCUUCGUGAUGGGGAUAGAUUAUUGCAAUUAUUAAUCUUCAACGAGGAAUUCCCAGUAAGUGCAAGUCAUAAGCUUGCGCUGACUACGUCCCUGCCCUUUGUACACACCGCCCGUCGCUACUACCGAUUGAAUGAUUUAGUGAGGACUUCGGACUGGGACCGAUGCGGCUUUCGGGCUGCGUCGGUAUUCUGGAAAGAUGUCCAAACUGUAUCAUUUAGAGGAAGUAAAAGUCGUAACA